rnacentral:tRNA from 1 species
CAAUGAACUUAAGAUUUAUAUAUAAAACAAAAAUUUUUAUUAGAA